rnacentral:rRNA from 1 species
GACAGAGGGUGCAAACGUUGUUCGGAAUUACUGGGCGUAAAGCGCGUGUAGGCGGCUAAGUAAGUCGGGCGUGAAAUCCCACGGCUCAACCGUGGAAGUGCACUCGAAACUGCAUAGCUAGAGUCCUGGAGAGGAAGGUGGAAUGCUUGGUGUAGAGGUGAAAUUCGUAGAUAUCAAGCGGAACGCCGGUGGCGAAGGCGACUAACUGGACAUGUAUUGACGCUGAGGUGCGAAAGCGUGGGGAGCAAACAGG